GACGAACGCUGGCGGCGUGCUUUACACAUGCAAGUCGAACGAAGUGGCGAACGGGUGAGUAAUACGUGAGUAACCUGCCCUCCUUUUUGGGAUAAGCCUUGGAAACGGGGUCUAAUACCGGAUAAAGGGGGAUGGGCUCGCGGCCUAUCAGCUUGUUGGUGGGGUGAUGGCCUACCAAGGCGGGGACGGGUAGACGGCCUGAGUGGGUGGUCGUCCACAGUGUGACUGGGAUACGGCCCAGACUCCUACGGGGGGCAGCAGUGGUGGAUAUUGCACAAUGGGCGCAAGCCUGAUGCAGCGACGCCGCGUGAGGGAUGAAGGCUUUCGGGUUGUAAACCUCUUUCGGUACAGAACGGGUAUGUGCAGAAGAAGCGCCGGCUAACUACGUGCCAGCAGCCGCGGUAAUUC
rnacentral:rRNA from 1 species